AUUGAACGCUGGCGGCAUGCUUUACACAUGCAAGUCGAACGGUAACAGGUUAAGCUGACGAGUGGCGAACGGGUGAGUAAUGUAUCGGAACGUGCCCAGUCGUGGGGGAUAACGUAGCGAAAGCUACGCUAAUACCGCAUAAGCACUAUGGAUGAAAGCGGGGGACCGUAAGGCCUCGCGCGAUUGGAGCGGCCGAUAUCAGAUUAGGUAGUUGGUGGGGUAAAGGCCCACCAAGCCAACGAUCUGUAGCUGGUCUGUGAGGACGACCAGCCACACUGGGACUGAGACACGGCCCAGACUCCUACGGGAGGCAGCAGUGGGGAAUUUUGGACAAUGGGGGCAACCCUGAUCCAGCAAUGCCGCGUGCAGGAAGAAGGCCUUCGGGUUGUAAACUGCUUUUGUACGGAACGAAAAGGCUCUGGUUAAUACCUGGGGUUUAUGACGGUACCGUAAGAAUAAGCACCGGCUAACUACGUGCCAGCCGCCGCAGUAA
rnacentral:rRNA from 1 species